UACGUAGGGUCCGAGCGUUGUCCGGAAUUAUUGGGCGUAAAGAGCUCGUAGGCGGUUUGUCGCGUCUGCUGUGAAAUCCCGAGGCUCAACCUCGGGCCUGCAGUGGGUACGGGCAGACUUGAGUGCGGUAGGGGAGAAUGGAAUUCCUGGUGUAGCGGUGGAAUGCGCAGAUAUCAGGAGGAACACCGGUGGCGAAGGCGGUUCUCUGGGCAUUACCUGACGCUGAGGAGCGAAAGUGUGGGGAGCGAACAGG
rnacentral:rRNA from 1 species